GGGGGCGUUACGGAUUCGACAGGGAUAGAUUGAGCUCAGACUGCGCGUCGAGGUUACGGCUCGUAAAACGUUACUCGCUAAAUAUAAACGGCGAAAAAGAAGAAACUCCAGCUUUAGCAGCUGCCUAAGCACUGCCUAGAGCGAUCCUUCCUGCUACCCGCCCGUGGUGCAGAUUGAAGGGUCUCAAAUGAAGCGGGCUAUUCCGUCGUCCACCGUCUGAGGAUGACGGCAGAACCUAAUCAGACUAGCUGCCGGUAAGCCUGUUGGCAGGCUGAACGGUACGCGAAUGAUAAUAUGUCAACUAUGCGUGUAGAUGUCUGAGUGGCGAUAUCUCUGGACGUGGGUUCGAUUCCCACCGUCUCCACCA
rnacentral:tmRNA from 1 species